AUCUCUGACUCCUUUACAUUUAACGGAGAAAACGUUUCGACUUUUACUAAAGGUCUCCGUGCAAAAGUGUAUUUCAUGAGCAUCAAAUAAUCUUGGAAUCUUCUCGAAAGAGCAGG
rnacentral:snRNA from 1 species